UACAGAGGGUGCAAGCGUUAAUCGGAAUUACUGGGCGUAAAGCGUGCGUAGACGGUUACAUAAGUCGGGUGUGAAAGCCCCGGGCUCAACCCUGGGAAUUGCAUUCGAGACUGCGUAGCUAGGGUGCGGAAGAGGGAAGCGGAAUUUCCGGUGUAGCGGUGAAAUGACGUAGAUAUCGGAAGGAACACCAGUGGCGAAAGCGGCUUCCUGGUCCAGCACCGACGUUCAGGCACGAAAGCGUGGGGAGCAAACAGG
rnacentral:rRNA from 1 species